rnacentral:tRNA from 1 species
GCCGGUAUGGCGAAAUGGUAGACGCACUCGACUCAAAAUCGAGCGGGGAAACCCAUGUCAGUUCAACUCUGACUACCGGUA